rnacentral:rRNA from 1 species
AACGAACGCUGGCGGCAGGCUUAACACAUGCAAGUCGAGCGCCCCGCAAGGGGAGCGGCAGACGGGUGAGUAACGCGUGGGAAUCUACCCAUCCCUACGGGAUAACACAGAGAAAUUUGUGCUAAUACCGUAUACGUCCUUUGGGAGAAAGAUUUAUCGGGGAUGGAUGAGCCCGCGUCGGAUUAGCUAGUUGGUGGGGUAAUGGCCUACCAAGGCGACGAUCCGUAGCUGGUCUGAGAGGAUGACCAGCCACAUUGGGGCUGAGACACGGCCCAAACUCCUACGGGAGGCAGCAGUGGGGAAUAUUGGACAAUGGGCGCAAGCCUGAUCCAGCCAUGCCGCGUGAGUGAUGACGGCCUUAGGGUUGUAAAGCUCUUUCACCCACGACGAUAAUGACGGUAGUGGGAGAAGAAGCCCCGGCUAACUUCGUGCCAGCCGCCGCUGUAAAAC